AAUUGUGGAUAUCUUUGGAGAGGAUUCCCCGGCUUUUAUUGGUUUGGUCGGUGCAGAAAGUGGCGGUACCGAUCUGGAAGAAACUGCUGUCUCUCCAGAGAUGGAUGUCGACCACUCAAGCGAGAGUGUGAAUUGUGAAGACUCGAUGGAGGCCCAAGUCACUCCACAAAAUACUCAUGAAGGCAGCAGCGGUGCACCGCCGAUGAAACGGAGGAGGAGGCUGGAAGAUCUGCAGCAGACACUUCUUGAAAAAGAAAUUGUUAGAGUGGAGGCUGAAACAAAGAAAUUACAGGCCGAGCAGGAAAAGCUGGAACU